rnacentral:rRNA from 1 species
UACGUGAGGGGCGAACGUUGUUCGGUGUCACUGGGCUUAAAGGGUGCGUAGGUGGUUGCGUAAGUAAGGUGUGAAAUCCCUCGGCUUACCCGGGGAAUUGCAUUUUAUACUGCGUGGCUUGAGGACUAAAGGGGAAAAGGGAACUCCAGGUGUAGCGGUGAAAUGCGUAGAUAUCGAGAGGAACACCUGCGGCGAAGGCGGGUUGCUGGGCUGAUACUGACGCUGAGGCGCGAAAGCCAGGGGAGCGAACAGG